GCCUACGGGGGGCAGCAGUAGGGAAUCUUCCACAAUGGGCGAAAGCCUGAUGGAGCAACGCCCCGUGGGUGAAGAAGGUCUUCGGAUCGUAAAACCCUGUUGUUAGAGAAGAAAGUGCGUGAGAGUAACUGUUCACGUUUCGACGGUAUCUAACCAGAAAGCCACGGCUAACUACGUGCCAGCAGCCGCGGUAAUACGUAGGUGGCAAGCGUUAUCCGGAUUUAUUGGGCGUAAAGGGAACGCAGGCGGCCUUUUAAGGUUGAUGUGAAAGCCUGCGGCUUAACCGGAGUAGUGCAUUGGAAACU
rnacentral:rRNA from 1 species